rnacentral:misc_RNA from 1 species
GGCACAUGCGUGGCAAACAGGUAUUUGUUUAUUUUCUUUUAAUUAAUUUAGGUUGGAAAAAUAAUGAUUACCUUGUGGAUGCAAAAACGUCUAAAUGCAUUCUGUCUUUAGAUCUCUUUGAUGACUGAUGAUUAGAUAAGCUGUUUCUUCUGAACUUAAAAUUUAAAUUUUAAUCCCCCCUCCUUACUUUUCUUUUCAGGUUAUAGCU